rnacentral:lncRNA from 1 species
GUUGGUUGAUCUGUAAUAUGCUACUCAUGCAGACGUCAAUGAAUUCUAACAGACGACAGAAUCCAUGAACUCUUUUGCACAAGAGAUUGGUCUGAAUGUCAUCCGGUGUCGGCUACAGCUUUUUGUUCCCGUCUACCUCCUGAUUUCCCUUUGCAAGAGCAGACACACAUGUUCACAACAUCUUUCCGGAAGCGCGUUGACCUGUUGAAGUACACGAUAAAUCCUAGGGAACUAUUGACAUAAGGCAGGUGGUAGACUGUGACAUAUGAGGUCAUGUAUAAAUUAUAGUAUUGGCCUGUGAGAGAAAACUCUUGCACAAUUAAGGAUGCGAGGUAGAAGAUGACCCAGGGUAUGGUGGUCGUGAUGUAGAUGCAGGACACCAGCACCAACAUCUUGGUCAGAGCUGUGUGCUGACCUUGUCCUCCAUCAUUACAGGAACUCGUCUUUCUCCGCCAGGUCACGGCGGCUGUCAGCUUGGCUACAGUCACUCCGGUGGAUAAAGAAAUGAUAAUGAAGGUCGCUAUAGGUAUUACAUUCAUCAUGAUAAUGUUUUCUAUUAUUGUGAAAACAAGUUGAUUUUUGAGGUACAGAUCAGAGCUGCCAAGUCCGAACUUAGGCACACUACUAUUAUCCUAAGUACUACAAAUCUUGCGGGAGUGGUAAAAAAAGCUACCUGGGAAAAACAACCUAUCGAAACCAUGACGACCGACAUGUUGCGAGUGCUGAUCAAAGAGGCCGCCUUCAAGGGAAACAUGACACACAGACAGCGUUCUACGGCUAUCACCAUGGUGAUACAUCCAGAAGCAGUGCGAAACCCUUGACCCAUUCCAGCUAGGUACGCUUGAAAGUAGGCAAAAUAGCCUUCGUAUGUACCAGGAUCAAUCUGUUCUAAAUAAAAAGCUAUACCAAAUAGUGUUGUCAUAGUUAUCAGACCGAGGUCAGCCACAGACAGCGCCAAGAGACAGACGUUCAUGCGGUCCUGGAGUCCCUGGCGCCAGAACACCACACAGUUGAUGAUGUUAGACGGCAGGCCGACGGCGAUGACGACAGGCUUGACGACACAGCUCAAGAUGAAGGCCGCCAACAAGUAGUCUCUAGCGAACUGACCGGAGGGAGCGUGGAGUCCGUGCGGACGAGCUGGGACACAGGUCACCACAAGACUUGAAGAGGCACGCCGACAGCAGUGAUGUAAUGGAAGACAACGAGCAGUGACUCGGAUGCUGCACGAAAUGGCGUCUUCAUCAUGAAACAAGUACAAAUCAGAGCUGGCAAGUCCCAUCUUUGACGCGCUGUUAUUAGCUCUGAGCACUACGAAUCUUGCGGCAGUUGUAAAGAAAGCUACCUGGGAAAAACAACCAAUAAAAACCAUGACGAUCGACAUGUUGCGAGUGCUGAUCAAAGAGGCCGCCUUUAAGGAAACAUGACACACAGACAGCGUUCUACGGCUAUCACCAUGGUGAUACAUCCAGAAGCAGUGCGAAAACCUUGACCCACUCCAGCGAUACCGAGGUCCACCACGGACAGCGCCAAGAGACAGACGUUCAUGCGGUCCUGGAGACCCUGGCGCCAGAACACCACACAGUUGAUGAUGUUAGACGGCAGGCCGAUGGCAAUGACGACAGGCUUGACGACACAGCUCAAGAUGAAGAGCGCCAGCCAGUAGUCAUUCUGAGUGAGAAGGUCGUUUGGAUUGUCCCAUGGUGUGAAGCUUGUGUUGGUCAUCGUCAGAAGGUCCUUCCUGCAAAACAACGAAGUGUUGCUAUGGUGAACUGAUUGAAAGUGAAGAUUACCAUGGAUCCUUGAAUGCUGCUCAGACUUGCGUGGGGCGAGGAUUUCUAUGAAUCUUAUUUCGUGCACGUGUCGGCAAACCGUUUGACAACCGCUACGUCAGCAUAACGACUCAUUAGAAAGGUUCGCUACUUUUUCUACUCUUAACGGCUACAAGUGUGGAAGUGAUCCAGGUUUGUUUUACUACCUGAAGUCAGUGAGUGUUAAAUUAAUUCUGAGAAUUAACGGAUAGUUGACAGUUGGUUCUCAAUCACAGCAGCUGUAGAUAAGCGGUCACCUAUGAUAAUAAUUUGGUCGUCUGCUUGUUUUUAAGCGUUAACACGCAGGAAAUAAUUCAGUUCGUGACCUAUGUUCACAGUCAUUGGCGUGAAUUUAGAUGUAGAUAAAAAGACAGAAAAUGUUAACAUGGUAGUCACAUGAGAAUGAACCUUUCGGACAUAUGAAGUUUACAGACGACUGACGGUUAAGUAUCUAUCAGCUAGAAACCAGAUAAAUGUAGCUCUCUAUCUGUCAGACUUUGUUUAGUUAAGACACAUUAAUGACAGAUAUUUGAUUCUUGUUAUUGACCAUUAAUUAAAUACCGUUUUAAGAAUUAUCACUGCUACAUGCUGAAGAAAGUUGAUACAUUUUGUUGUAAGGUCGAACUCCUCGAACAAACUAAAAGUAUGAGAUUUAAAACUAUACCAAUUGUUUACUUUCUUUGUGCAAAAGCUAAACUGUGCAAUUAAACACAAAAUAAUUAACCUCCACUUACCUGCUUAGUCAACAAGAUGCAAAGCCUGUUGUGUAUUUCACACCACUGGCAAGCAGCAAUACAAUAGUUUUGAGUAUUCGACAUCUUUUACGACUAAUCAAAGUUAGCAAAGUGGACUUGCAAAGUUAGUCUUUCGUAGGAUGAAGGAUACACAGUUUUACCAUGUUUUCUUUUUUUAUGGCAUUAAUGUUUUGAUGUUAAUUCCAUAUCCACAAGGUAAUCUGUAUUUGAUUUUCGUUUAGAACAUUCUGGUGAAUCUAACGGUUAGUAAGAAAUGGUUCAGAUAGGUGUUUAACCUGCACAAAUAUCAACCACAUCGCAGAACCAAGAACUUCGGUACUGCAAGGGAAGGAAGAUGCUUCCUAAAGUAAUAACGGUGGGAUUUUUGUUUCUGGGAAAAUCUUUUACCAAAACUUCCUUAUUUUAGUUGUGAUCACUGAAAUAAAAG